GGCACCGUGGCCUAAUGGUAAGGUUUGUCUUACACUACUUGCCGUCCUCCGACUAGAUCAGAAAGCUCAUUGAUUCUACAGGCGUUGCUUUCCGGCAACGGAGGAUGGCAAAGAUUGUGGGUUCGAGUCCCAUCGGUGUCG
rnacentral:tRNA from 1 species